GCUCAAGAUAUGCUCGUCUCCUCACUUCUAAUUUUAUUCACUUCUUCACAUGAUACUUUCACCCAGAAGUUGGGUCCAGCCUUUCUGCCUUUCUUCCUCCGUUUCCCCAAGUCUGCCAAUUUGAAUAUGCCGGCCGAUUCCCACCAGCCUCCCUUCUUCUUCUGUCUCUGUUCCUCGAUUUUCCUGGAGUUUGCCAUUCCCCGAGUCCUGCCAGCCUCCCUCACUGCCGCUGCCUCCCAAGGCAAUGGCUUCAGGCAUCCGCACAACUCCGGAUGCCUCCGCACAUAGUCCUCAACGCGGUUGUCUGUAAGCGAAUUAUAUAGAUAGAUGAUAACAACAACAACAAUAAUAAAUGUGUAUAUUAAACCCUCAA